rnacentral:rRNA from 1 species
GAUGAACGCUGGCGGCGUGCCUAAUACAUGCAAGUCGAGCGAACAGACGAGAGUGCUUGCACUCUCUGACGUUAGCGGCGGACGGGUGAGUAACACGUGGGUAACCUACCUAUAAGACUGGGAUAACUUCGGGAAACCGGAGCUAAUACCGGAUAAUAUUUAGCUUCGCAUGAAGCAAUAGUGAAAGACGGUUCUGCUGUCACUUAUAGAUGGACCCGCGGUGUAUUAGCUAGUUGGUGAGGUAACGGCUCACCAAGGCAACGAUACAUAGCCGACCUGAGAGGGUGAUCGGCCACACUGGGACUGAGACACGGCCCAGACUCCUACGGGAGGCAGCAGUAGGGAAUCUUCCGCAAUGGACGAAAGUCUGACGGAGCAAUGCCGCGUGAGUGAAGAAGGUUUUCGGAUCGUAAAACUCUGUUGUAAGGGAAGAACAAGUACGUUAGUAACUGAACGCACCUUGACGGUACCUUACCAGAAAGCCACGGCUAACUACGUG